UCCCCAUAGCCCACAGAAGCCAGAGCCUUGAAGCCCUUCCCAACCAUGUCAUGACAGGUCCUAUUGUGACCUCAUGAGGAGCGACUGUGAGGAGGUCCAGCCAACAGAUGUUAAGCUGUAGCCAGGCCUGGAUUUCUUUGAGUGCUUUGAGAGGAGGUGUGGAGUGGAGCUCUCUGCGACUUGGUUGUAUUUAGUGAGCUGUGUGUGGUUGUAUCGGAUUUUACUGUACUGUGUAUAUGUGUAUGUAUUAGUGUAUGUAGGAUAAUGUGUGUUGACAGAUUUGCUUGUGUGUGACUGUGUGUACACUUUCGCCCGUGUUUGUCAGUAUAUGUAGGAGUGUGUGAGUUCACAGGUUUGUUUGUGUGUAUGUGUAUGUAUGUGUGUACGUUUUCUUGUGCAUGUGUGUGUCCCUGUGUGUAUGUUUGUGUCUGUGAUGUGCGUUUUUAUUGGUGUGCUUGUGUGUAAGUAUGUGUGUACCUGUUCAUGUGUGAUUGGGUUUUGUGUGAAUCUGGGUGUUUGUAAGAGUUUGUCUGUGUGAGUAUAAGUACACUUUUGUGUAUUUCUGUAUGUGCUUCUGUGUGUGCCUCUGUGUGUGUGUGUGUGUGUCUGUGUGUGUGUGUGUGUGUGUACGCCGCCCGUGGCCAUCCCCUUUUGCCCCUUCUUAUAUCUAUAUUACCUGUACCUCAGUGCAAGAGAAUGUAGAGCCCAGAAGUCAGCCCAGCUACUGUUCCUCAGGUAGCAUUAGUACUGAUAAAAUGCCUACAGAGACUGAGAAGGAGUUACCACCUCCUAGCCCCGAUCCCAGUAUCUCUGAGGAGGGAACCUUUCGUUCCCAAUAUAAAGUACUGAAGACUAUUGGAAAAGGAAGCCAUGCCAAGGUCCUCCUGGCCUACCACCAGCUCACAGGAUCCCCGGUGGCAGUCAAAGUUCCCGAAAGGACAAGCAGUGGUUCCAGCCAGCCAUGACAGAAGCAAACAUAAUGAGAAAGAUCAACCACCCCAACAUUGUUUCUCUCUUACAAGUCAUUGAAAACAAAACUAGAAUAUACCUCAUAAUGGAGCUGGUGGAAGGCCAACAACUCUACCAGUACAUCAGAGAGUCAGGGCACAUAGAGGAGGAUGAGGCUCGGCAAAUAUUUGAACAGAUAUUAUCAGCAGUGAGCUACUGCCAUGGAAAGGGGAUUGUUCACCGAGACCUGAAACUGGACAAUAUAAUGAUCGAUAUAAACAAAAUGUCAAAGUCAUCGACUUUGGGCUGAGCACCAAAACACAACCUGGACAUAUGCUAAACCAGCACUGCGGUGCGUACUCUUUUGGUUCCCCAGAACUCUUCCUUGGACUUCUGUAUGACGGGAUGAAGAAUGACAUGUGGACAAUAGGAGUGGUCUUGUAUUAUAUGGUAGUGGGAAAGCUUCCAUUUGAUUCAGUGAUCAUCCAAGAAUUACAAAUACAAGUUGUUGCAGGGGUGUAUCCUACCCCCUGUGGGGUUUCAGAAGAACUGGAGAACCUCCUUAGUCAAUUACUAACAGUAAAUCCAAUGUAUAGACCAACAGACAGUGAGGUGAUGAAAUACGCCUGGUUCAAAGAACACGGGAAGGGGUUCACAGGUCGUCGUGAAGAACUGCUUCCCCUCAGGCCAGACCCUGAAAUUUUGGGUGCGAUGAAAUGCAUGGGAUUUCAAGCCUCUGUAAUAAAAUACUCCCUAAUAAAAAGAAAAUAUAAUGAGGAAA